AACACAUUGUCUCUUUUACACGUGAUGUUUACACAGAGUCAGGUAACACAUUGUCUCUUUUACACGUGAUGUUUACACAGAGUCAGGUAACACAUUGUCUCCUUUACACGUGAUGUUUACACAGAGUCAGGAAACACAUUGUCUCUUUUACACGUGAUGUUUACACAGAGUCAGGUAACACAUUGUCUCUUUUACACGUGAUGUUUACACAGAGUCAGGUAACACAUUGUCUCUUUUACACGUGAUGUUUACACAGAGUCAGGAAACACAUUGUCUCUUUUACACGUGAUGUUUACACAGAGUCAGGUAACACAUUGUCUCUUUUACACGGGAUGUUUACACAGUCAGGUAACACAUUGUCUCUUUUACACGUGAUGUUUACACAGAGUCAGGUAACACAUUGUCUCUUUUACACGUGAUGUUUACACAGAGUCAGGUAACACAUUGUCUCCUUUACACGUGAUGUUUACACAGAGUCAGGUAACACAUUGUCUCCUUUACACGUGAUGUUUACACAGAGUCAGGUAACACAUUGUCUCCUUUACACGGGAUGUUUACACAGAGUCAGGUAACACAUUGUCUCUUUUACACGUGAUGUUUACACAGAGUCAGGUAACACA